rnacentral:rRNA from 1 species
UACAGAGGGGGCAAGCGUUAUUCGGAAUUAUUGGGCGUAAAGGGCGCGUAGGCGGCUUUUCAAGUGACGGGUGAAAUCCCCGGGCUCAACCCGGGAACCGCGUCCGAGACUGGCAGGCUCGAAUCCGGGAGAGGGAUGUGGAAUUCCAGGUGUAGCGGUGAAAUGCGUAGAUAUCUGGAGGAACACCGGUGGCGAAGGCGGCAUCCUGGACCGGUAUUGACGCUGAGGCGCGAAAGCCAGGGGAGCAAACGGG